rnacentral:rRNA from 1 species
AUUGAACGCUGGCGGCAGGCCUAACACAUGCAAGUCGAACGGUAGCAGGAAGAAGCUUGCUUCUUUGCUGACGAGUGGCGGACGGGUGAGUAAUGUCUGGGAAACUGCCUGAUGGAGGGGGAUAACUACUGGAAACGGUAGCUAAUACCGCAUAACGUCGCAAGACCAAAGAGGGGGACCUUCGGGCCUCUUGCCAUCAGAUGUGCCCAGAUGGGAUUAGCUAGUAGGUGGGGUAACGGCUCACCUAGGCGACGAUCCCUAGCUGGUCUGAGAGGAUGACCAGCCACACUGGAACUGAGACACGGUCCAGACUCCUACGGGAGGCAGCAGUGGGGAAUAUUGCACAAUGGGCGCAAGCCUGAUGCAGCCAUGCCGCGUGUGUGAAGAAGGCCUUCGGGUUGUAAAGCACUUUCAGCGGGGAGGAAGGGGGAAUGGUUAAUAACCAUUGCCAUUGACGUUACCCGCAGAAGAAGCACCGGCUAACUCCGUGCCAGCCGCCGCCGUAAUAC